GAGGCUUUAUCUUAAUUAAAGUAUCUGAUUUGCAUUCAGAAGAUAUAGGUUAGUGUCCUAUAAGUCUUA
rnacentral:tRNA from 1 species